GGAGGAAAGUAGGGGAUCGCAAGACCUUGUGCUUUUGGAGCGGCCGAUGUCUGAUUAGCUAGUUGGUGGGGUAAUGGCUUACCAAGGCUUCGAUCAGUAGCUGGUCUGAGAGGACGACCAGCCACACUGGGACUGAGACACGGCCCAGACUCCUACGGGAGGCAGCAGUGGGGAAUUUUGGACAAUGGGGGAAACCCUGAUCCAGCCAUGCCGCGUGAGUGAAGAAGGCCUUCGGGUUGUAAAGCUCUUUCAGCCGGAACGAAAUGGUUACGGUUAAUACCCGUGACAAAUGACGGUACCGGAAGAAGAAGCACCGGCUAACUACGUGCCAGCAGCCGCGGUAAUACGUAGGGUGCAAGCGUUAAUCGGAAUUACUGGGCGUAAAGCGUGCGCAGGCGGUUUUGUAAGUCAGAUGUGAAAUCCCCGGGCUUAACCUGGGAACUGCGUUUGAAACUACAAAGCUAG
rnacentral:rRNA from 1 species